GACGAACGCUGGCGGCGUGCUUAACACAUGCAAGUCGAGCGGUAAGGCCCUUUCGGGGGUACGACGAGCGGCGAACGGGUGAGUAACACGUGGGUGACCUGCCCUCAGCUCUGGGAUAAGCCUGGGAAACCGGGUCUAAUACUGGAUAUGACUCCAUGACGCAUGUUGGUGGGGUGGAAAGCCUUGUGCGGCUGAGGAUGGGCCCGCGGCCUAUCAGCUUGUUGGUGGGGUGAGG
rnacentral:rRNA from 1 species